rnacentral:rRNA from 1 species
CAACCCUCAAGCUCUGCUUGGUAUUGGGCACCGUCCUUUGCGGGCGCGCCUCAAAGACCUCGGCGGUGGCGUCUUGCCUCAAGCGUAGUAGAACAUACAUCUCGCUUCGGAGCGCGGGGGGUCGCCCGCCGGACGAACCUUCUGAACUUUUCUCAGGGU